CGCCAGCAGCCGGUUCUCAUAGGAGGGACAGCAGAAGGAGGCUGCUGUCUGAGACGCGCUCGAUCCUUCAGUCACAGACCUGGAAAUCGAAUCGCAGCAAGUCGUACUGGUGUUUGCCGACACGAAAUACUGCAUGAAGAAAAUUUUGGUUGGAGCUUGAAGGACUGUGACAAAGACAUGGGAGAUACAGUUCAUUGCUAGGUCCAAAUCGCCAUUACUUAAGUCUGGAUUCUGAUACUGUGGUGGCUAUGCUGUAUAUGGACAGUGAGAAUGUGUUGCCCUGGAGGUAAGUGGGAACAGACAGGGGCUGCUGAAGUCUAUCAUUACCUCUGCAGGACAAAACAGCAUCUCCUGCAAUGACAGUUCAAUUGCUGAGGCCUCUGGUCCUCAUUUGCAGGCCAGACUCUGGAGAGAUUUUUCUUCUUCAUGCUUGGUGUCAAACACAAGCCAGAUGGCUCUAUUAAUGUUUGCUCUAUACAUUUUUUUUUUCAUCUGCCCUGUCAAGUCUUGUUGUGUUAGUUCCCAGUACUUAGUGCAUUAUUUCUGUGGUUUCUAAUGUGAAACCAACCAAUGUUUCAAACCAAGCAAGAAAUCAAUGUCCGAAAUGUCUUGUCACUCUAUACUCCUUUCUGAGAAUCAGUUUUACUC